GGUAAAAUGGCCGAUUAUAGGUGAUAAAUUGUAAAUUUAUUUAUGAAUUUCCUCUUUUACUA
rnacentral:tRNA from 1 species